AUUGAACGCUGGCGGCAGGCCUAACACAUGCAAGUCGAACGAGUGGCGGACGGGUGAGUAAUGUCUGGGAAACUGCCUGAUGGAGGGGGAUAACUACUGGAAACGGUAGCUAAUACCGCAUACCAUCAGAUGUGCCCAGAUGGGAUUAGCUGGUUGGUGGGGUAACGGCUCACCAAGGCGACGAUCCCUAGCUGGUCUGAGAGGAUGACCCGGCACACUGGAACUUGGACACGGUCCAAACCCCUACGGGAGGCAGGAGGGGGGAAUAUUGGAACAAUGGCGGAAGCCUUAUAGAGCCAUGCCGGGUGUAUGAAGAAGGCCUUCGGGGUGGAAAGGCCUUUUCGGGGAGAGGCCGUACCCCGAGAAGAAGCAACGGCUAACUCCGUGGCAGCAGGCGCGGUUAUUC
rnacentral:rRNA from 1 species